UACGAAGGGUGCUAGCGUUACUCGGAAUCACUGGGCGUAAAGCGUGCGUAGGCGGAAAUACAAGUCAGAGGUGAAAUCCCGGAGCUCAACUUCGGAAUUGCCUUUGAAACUGUAUUUCUUGAGUAUGGUAGAGGAUGGUGGAAUUCCUAGUGUAGAGGUGAAAUUCGUAGAUAUUAGGAGGAACACCGGUGGCGAAGGCGGCCAUCUGGGCCAUUACUGACGCUGAGGCACGAAAGCGUGGGUAGCAAACAGG
rnacentral:rRNA from 1 species